rnacentral:rRNA from 1 species
AAUAGAUACCCGGGUAGUCCACGCCGUAAACGAUGGAUACUAGCUGUUCGGUAGCAAUACUGAGUGGCUAAGCGAAAGUGAUAAGUAUCCCACCUGGGGAGUACGAACGCAAGUUUGAAACUCAAAGGAAUUGACGGGGGCCCGCACAAGCGGUGGAGCAUGUGGUUUAAUUCGAUGAUACGCGAGGAACCUUACCAGGGCUUAAAUGUAGAGUGACAGGACUGGAAACAGUUUUUUCUUCGGACACUUUACAAGGUGCUGCAUGGUUGUCGUCAGCUCGUGCCGUGAGGUGUCAGGUUAAGUCCUAUAACGAGCGCAACCCCUGUUGUUAGUUGCCAGCGAGUAAUGUCGGGAACUCUAACAAGACUGCCGGUGCAAACCGUGAGGAAGGUGGGGAUGACGUCAAAUCAUCACGGCCCUUACGUCCCGGGGCUACACACGUGCUACAAUGGCCGGUACAGAGAGCAGCCACCUCGCGAGGGGGAGCGAAUCUAUAAAGCCGGUCACAGUUCGGAUUGGAGUCUGUAACCCGACUCCAUGAAG